rnacentral:lncRNA from 1 species
UUUUAGGCGGCAUUUUCUUUCUCUCCAUUCUCCUUCACUUUCACGAGUGCCUAAUUUGUUCCAUAAAUUUGAAAUCAGUUUUCUUUCCAUCUUAAUUCCAAUAAAAAAACCCUAAUCAAAGCUUAUUUCACCAUCGAUCUUUCUGUUGGUUCUCUUCCGUUGUUUUCUCCAAACCCUAGAAUUGAUUGUUCUUUGUUGAGGCUUGAUCUAGAGCUCGAAUUGAUUGUUCUUUGUUUCAGCCAAACCAUUCACAACCCUAAUUUUCAUCUAUCUCCUAUUCGUGUAAGCGAUGAUGGCUAUUGAACAAACCCUAGAUGAUGGCGAUUGAAGAAACCGAACAAACCAUUAGGUGGAGUAUAUAAUCAGUUGAUCCUUUGAAACUACUUCUACAAGGUUGUUGGAACAAGAAGAAUGGUCAGCAAGUUUUUCUUAAACACCAAUUCCAUGUACCGAUUCAAGAUUUAGGGUUUUUUCGUUCAACUUUAUACAUGAGAUUUCUCACUCAAUCAAGGUUCAGGAUUUAGAGAGGAUAUGAAGAAAAGCAGGCACGUUUCAAGUAACGCACGCAAAAGUUGAGAAGGAGAUGGCUUCGGUUCAAGGAGCAACAAAUGGUGAUGCUUGGACAUCGAUAAUCAAACCUUCAGAAGGAAGGAACUAAAUCGAUACAUCCCGACUGGUGUUAAUAUAGGACUUUGUCUGACAGGUUAUUGACAAAUGUGGAAAAAAGAGCUGGUAGGUAUAAACAGAUUUUGGUCAAGCCAAAUGUAUUUGAGAAAUAUCAUAUAUACCCAAUUUUUGGAUGCGCUUUUGUGUUCUUAUCUUCGAAUUGACAGAGGUUAAACUGAAGACACUGGCUGAAAUCGAUGCACAAGGAAAGAUUCUUCCUAAGUUUUUAGUUCGUUCGAAAUUCAUAUUUUAUAGGUUUUCAUUUCGUUUCUGUUCUAAAUAUGCAGGAUACUAAUGGCGAUUUUAAUUUCUUGAAGUCAGGGUUGCACAAAUGGGCGGGUGAUGCAUACGAGUUUAAUAAAAAAGAACCCUACAUUGAGCUCGUGACUUCUCCAAACAACCCUAAUGGAUUCACGAGACAUGAUGUAGUCAAAGGAGAUAAGGGGAUUCUGAUUGAUGAUCUUGCUUUUUACCAGCCACAAUAUACACUGAUUUUAUCUCUUGUAGAGUAUGAUAUAAUGAUUUUAUCGCUUCAAUCAAGAGGGAACGUUUUUGAUGUACGUUUGAUCUGUUUAUCACCAAUCGAGGUAACUUUUUUUAUAUUAGUUCUCGAUUUGUUGUUUAGCAUCUUUAAACUCGCAUGAUUAUGUUUAAUGGAAAGUUGUAUUCUGUAAAAGAUUGGAUAUUAGUUCUCGAUUUGUUGUUUAGCCUCUUUAAACUCGCAUGAUUAAUUUUAAAAGUAUUAGUGCAGUGAUUUUUUUAGUGAAAUUGUAUACGAAACCUUUCAUUUGAAUUUUAAAUUGUUUUAUAACUUAUAAACUUAAUACCGGCCAACUCCAUCAUACUGGCAAUAUCUCCCGCUAAUCAGGAUAUUGCCACAUCGGAUGCAAUUAAACAUGCCAAAGAAGUGAGUAUUUUGCUACAAGUCCUGACUACGAUCAUUUGGCCAAUAAAAUGGGUUCUGAGUAUUAGGCAAAACUUUUAUCUGAGGUAAUAUUAUUCACUGAUAUGUAGUCUGUAUGUUUUCUCUUCGAAGGUGUAAGUGUGAUAUUUGUAGCUUCUUUCUCCUAUGUAGCAUUUGGAAUGGGUAAUCAAAUCAAAAUUACUAGGCAUUGUUUCCAUGAUCAACAAAUGUAUCAAGGAGAUGGAAGCAGAGUUGGACCGUCUUGGGAGGCUAAUUGUAGUAGAUGCAAGGGCACAAUUAUACACCAUCUUGGAACUUUUUCAUGCUUUUGACAAAAUAUUUAAGGAGCAUCUAGAUGGAGGGUAAGUGUCACACCCCGACCGAUGGCGGAAUCAUCGGGGCGCGACACUGAACGAAAGAGAUUGUCCAUGAGUAUCCAUAACAACUAUUAAUUACCAGAUACUUAAAACGUCAUGUCCCAUACCAUAACAUAUCCAAAUAAAACAGUUAUUACAAAUAAUUGUCUCAUAAACAAAUACUGAUCCGACAACUCAGAUUUCAAGAACAGACAAUUCGUUUAUUUGUUUCUAGACUCAUUCCUAGCCUCGAUUUCACAGCAAGCCAAGCAUUUUAACAUCUUAAGCACCUUCCACAUACGUUAAAGUGAAAGUCAAUACACAUAGUGUAAAGGUGAGCAUACAAGUU